rnacentral:rRNA from 1 species
AUACAGAGGGUGCGAGCGUUAAUCGGAAUUACUGGGCGUAAAGCGCGCGUAGGCGGUCUAUUAAGUCAGAUGUGAAAUCCCAGGGCUCAACCUUGGAACCGCAUCUGAUACUGGUAGACUAGAGUUUUGGAGAGGGAAGUAGAAUUUCAGGUGUAGCGGUGAAAUGCAUAGAGAUCUGAAGGAAUACCAGUGGCGAAGGCGACUUCCUGGCCAAAAACUGACGCUGAGGUGCGAAAGCGUGGGUAGCAAACGGGAUUAGAAACCCCAGUAGUCC